ACGAGGGGGGCGAGCGUUGUUCGGAAUUAUUGGGCGUAAAGGGUGCGUAGGCGGUUUGGUAAGUCCUGUGUGAAAUCUCCAGGCUCAACUUGGAGUCUGCACGAGAAACUGCCGGGCUUGAGUGUGGGAGAGGUGAGUGGAAUUCCCGGUGUAGCGGUGAAAUGCGUAGAUAUCUGGAGGAAUACCGGUGGCGAAGGCGGCAUCCUGGACCGACAUUGACGCUGAACGGCGAAAGCUAGGGGAGCAAACGGGA
rnacentral:rRNA from 1 species